UACGGAGGGGGCAAGCGUUGUUCGGAAUUACUGGGCGUAAAGGGCGCGCAGGCGGCUGCUCAAGUCAGGCGUGAAAGGCCUGGGCUCAACCCGGGAAUUGCGCUUGAGACUGGGCUGGCUUGAGUGCGGGAGAGGAUGGUGGAAUUCCCAGUGUAGAGGUGAAAUUCGUAGAUAUUGGGAAGAACACCGGUGGCGAAGGCGGCCAUCUGGAUCGCAACUGACGCUGAGGCGCGAAAGCGUGGGGAGCAAACAGG
rnacentral:rRNA from 1 species